rnacentral:rRNA from 1 species
GAGUUUGAUCAUGGCUCAGGAUGAACGCUAGCGGCAGGCUUAACACAUGCAAGUCGAGGGGUAACAGGGAUUGCUUGCAAUCCGCUGACGACCGGCGCACGGGUGCGUAACGCGUAUGCAACCUACCUUUUACAAGGGGAUAGCCCAGAGAAAUUUGGAAUAAUACCCUAUACGAUCAUUAAUUGGCAUCAAUUAAUGAAGAAAACUCCGGUGGUAAAAGAUGGGCAUGCGUCCUAUUAGUUAGUUGGUAAGGUAACGGCUUACCAAGACUCCGAUAGGUAGGGGUCCUGAGAGGGAGAUCCCCCACACUGGUACUGAGACACGGACCAGACUCCUACGGGAGGCAGCAGUGAGGAAUAUUGGACAAUGGAGGCAACUCUGAUCCAGCCAUGCCGCGUGCAGGAAGACGGCCCUACGGGUUGUAAACUGCUUUUAUACAGGAAGAACUAUAUCUACGUGUAGAUAUUUGACGGUACUGUACGAAUAAGGAUCGGCUAACUCCGUGCCAGCAGCCGCGGUAAUACGGAGGAUCCAAGCGUUAUCCGGAAUCAUUGGGUUUAAAGGGUCCGUAGGCGGUCUAAUAAGUCAGAGGUGAAAUCCUACAGCUCAACUGUAGCAUUGCCUUUGAUACUGUUAGACUUGAGUUAUUGUGAAGUAGUUAGAAUGUGUAGUGUAGCGGUGAAAUGCAUAGAUAUUACACAGAAUACCGAUUGCGAAGGCAGAUUACUAACAAUAUACUGACGCUGAGGGACGAAAGCGUGGGUAGCGAACAGGAUUAGAUACCCUGGUAGUCCACGCCGUAAACGGUGGAUACUAGCUGUUCGAUCAACAUUGGUUGGUUGAGUGGCUAAGCGAAAGUGA